rnacentral:lncRNA from 1 species
UUUUGUGUUACCCAAAGGCAAGAGUCACACAAAUUCCAGAUUAAACACCCUACAAGUGAGGAAUAAAUGACUAAUAGAUUCCUUUAAUUGAUCACACAUAACACAUCUUUGCCUAGGCACAUGGAUACCUCUACGAAUGAGAUUAUCAACAAUUGCUUGCUGAGCCAUUUGGUUGUUAAUCAGUGAUGAUGAGGAUACAACCUCGGCAUCCAAUUCACAUAAUCAGAAAGUGAAACAACGACAACCUGCCUUUAUCCAAUGGAGAUGCUAGAAGCUACUCAAAGUUAAGAAGCUUCAGUCUUGGUUUCAACUUCCGAAUGGGAACUGGGAACUGAGGAAGAUGAUAACAACUUCUGGAAAUGAAGAACACACAAAAUCAUCAUCGUAGCUUAAAGCAAGACAACAAGGAUAUGUUUCUAUUCAUCUCAUCUAUUUUACCUAAUCAUUUGUAUCUGUACCUUAAUUAUGCCAUCAACCCUCUAGCAGAAACAAAAACUAGAUGAAGUUAAAGGUAAAAGAUUCAAACUAGAUAUGAAAUGUGAAUGAAAGAAAUUCAACAGUUCAGACAAUUAGUGGCGAACUCUAAUCUUGGUGGUUUACGUAAUGGUGGGAAACAGAGAACGCUCCAGGGGUUACUAUGGCUACUCAAAUGACUAUACCACCUUCUUUUUCUCGAACUUCCCUCACGGUUAUGGUGAAGUGGAUAUGGUCAAGGUCUUCCAAAGACAGGUUAGGGUGAAAGAAGUUUUCAUAUCACGUAGGCUUAACAUAUGGGUGAGAAGAUUUGGGUUUGUGAGGUUAUUUGAGGUGAGAAACGCGGAACGCCUAGAGAAGGAGCUGGAUAAUAUAUAUAUCGGAAACAUGAAGCUCCAUGUGAACAUCCCAAAGUACCGAAGGAAUCAGCAGGAAACUGUUAAGGAGGAAAGGAGGGCCUCGAGGUUUCCUUACAUGGAAAGGCAGAGAGACAAAGGGAAGUGUAAGGAGAUAUGGGUGGAGAAGAAAGGGAAAAAGUCUUUUGUAGAAGCUGUCAAAGGUGAAGAGCAACAGGACAAAUGGAA